GUAAUGUCUGGGAAACUGCCUGAUGGAGGGGGAUAACUACUGGAAACGGUAGCUAAUACCGCAUAACGUCGCAAGACCAAAGAGGGGGACCUUCGGGCCUCUUGCCAUCAGAUGUGCCCAGAUGGGAUUAGCUAGUAGGUGGGGUAACGGCUCACCUAGGCGACGAUCCCUAGCUGGUCUGAGAGGAUGACCAGCCACACUGGAACUGAGACACGGUCCAGACUCCUACGGGAGGCAGCAGUGGGGAAUAUUGCACAAUGGGCGCAAGCCUGAUGCAGCCAUGCCGCGUGUAUGAAGAAGGCCUUCGGGUUGUAAAGUACUUUCAGCGGGGAGGAAGGUGUUGAGGUUAAUAACCUCAGCAAUUGACGUUACCCGCAGAAGAAGCACCGGCUAACUCCGUGCCAGCAGCCGCGGUAAUACGGAGGGUGCAAGCGUUAAUCGGAAUUACUGGGCGUAAAGCGCACGCAGGCGGUCUGUCAAGUCGGAUGUGAAAUCCCCGGGCUCAACCUGGGAACUGCAUUCGAAACUGGCAGGCUAGAGUCUUGUAGAGGGGGGUAGAAUUCCAGGUGUAGCGGUGAAAUGCGUAGAGAUCUGGAGGAAUACCGGUGGCGAAGGCGGCCCCCUGGACAAAGACUGACGCUCAGGUGCGAAAGCGUGGGGAGCAAACAGGAUUAGA
rnacentral:rRNA from 1 species